rnacentral:snoRNA from 1 species
AAUUCGUGGUGUGGGCACUUCUGAAUUAACAUCUUAAAAUGCUCCCAUGCUUCGUGAAAGCUUUCUCCUUCUAAUUGUUUAAACAUCAAAAUUUCCCUUUUUAGCU